rnacentral:rRNA from 1 species
GACGAACGCUGGCGGCGCGCUUAACACAUGCAAGUCGAACGGAAAGGCCCUGCUUUUGUGGGGUGCUCGAGUGGCGAACGGGUGAGUAACACGUGAGUAACCUGCCCUUGACUUUGGGAUAACUUCAGGAAACUGGGGCUAAUACCGGAUAGGAGCUCCUGCUGCAUGGUGGGGGUUGGAAAGUUUCGGCGGUUGGGGAUGGACUCGCGGCUUAUCAGCUUGUUGGUGGGGUAGUGGCUUACCAAGGCUUUGACGGGUAACCGGCCUGAGAGGGUGACCGGCCACAUUGGGACUGAGAUACGGCCCAGACUCCUACGGGAGGCAGCAGUGGGGAAUAUUGCACAAUGGGCGGAAGCCUGAUGCAGCAACGCCGCGUGCGGGAUGACGGCCUUCGGGUUGUAAACCGCUUUCGCCUGUGACGAAGCGUGAGUGACGGUAAUGGGUAAAGAAGCACCGGCUAACUACGUG